rnacentral:rRNA from 1 species
GUAAGGAAUAUUGGACAAUGGUGGCAACACUGAUCCAGCCAUGCCGCGUGCAGGAUGACGGCCCUAUGGGUUGUAAACUGCUUUUAUUCGGGAAUAAACCUCUGUACGUGUACGGAGCUGAAGGUACCGAAUGAAUAAGCAUCGGCUAACUUCGUGCCAGCAGCCGCGGUAAUACGAAGGAUGCAAGCGUUAUCCGGAUUUAUUGGGUUUAAAGGGUGCGUAGGCGGGUUUGUAAGUCAGAGGUGAAAGCCCAUCGCUCAACGAUGGAACUGCCUUUGAUACUAUAGAUCUUGAGUAUGGUUGACGUUGGCGGAAUGUGCAGUGUAGCGGUGAAAUGCUUAGAUAUUGCACAGAACACCGAUUGCGAAGGCAGCUAACGAAGCCACAACUGACGCUGAUGCACGAAAGCGUGGGGAGCAAACAGGAUUAGAAACCCCAGUAGUCC